rnacentral:rRNA from 1 species
GGGGAAUAUUGGACAAUGGGCGCAAGCCUGAUCCAGCAAUGCCGCGUGGGUGAAGAAGGCCUUCGGGUUGUAAAGCCCUUUUGUACGGGAAGAAAAGCUGCCGGUUAAUACCCGGUGGUCAUGACGGUACCGUAAGAAUAAGCACCGGCUAACUGCGUGACAGCAGCCGCGGUAAUACGUAGGGACCAAGCGUUGUUCGGAUUUACUGGGCGUAAAGGGUGCGUAGGCGGCGCGUCAAGUCAGUUGUGAAAUCUUAAGGCUUAACCUUAAGCGGUCAACUGAUACUGUCGUGCUAGAGUGCAGAAGGGGCAAUCGGAAUUCUUGGUGUAGCGGUGAAAUGCGUAGAUAUCAAGAGGAACACCUGAGGUGAAGACGGGUUGCUGGGCUGACACUGACGCUGAGGCACGAAAGCUAGGGUAGCAA